rnacentral:piRNA from 1 species
UGCCUAUCUGUACAUGUCUGCGA